CCUACGGGGGGCAGCAGUGGGGGAUAUUGCACAAUGGGGGGAACCCUGAUGCAGCGACGCCGCGUGGGUGAAGAAGCGCCUCGGCGCGUAAAGCCCUGUCAGCAGGGAAGAAAAUGACGGUACCUGAAGAAGAAGCCCCGGCUAACUACGUGCCAGCAGCCGCGGUAAUACGUAGGGGGCAAGCGUUAUCCGGAUUUACUGGGUGUAAAGGGGGCGCAGACGGCGAUGCAAGCCAGGAGUGAAAGCCCGGGGCCCAACCCCGGGACUGCUCUUGGAACUGCGUGGCUGGAGUGCAGGAGGGGCAGGCGGAAUUCCUGGUGUAGCGGUGAAAUGCGUAGAGAUCAAGAGGAAUACUCAUUGCGAAGGCGACCUGCUGGAACAUUACUGACGCUGAUGCACGAAAGCGUGGGGAGCAAACAGGAUUAGAUACCCCAGUAGUC
rnacentral:rRNA from 1 species